UACGUAGGGUGCAAGCGUUGUCCGGAAUUAUUGGGCGUAAAGAGCUCGUAGGCGGUCUGUCGCGUCUGCUGUGAAAACUCAGGGCUUAACCCUGAGCUUGCAGUGGGUACGGGGAGACUAGAGUGCGGUAGGGGAGACUGGAAUUCCUGGUGUAGCGGUGAAAUGCGCAGAUAUCAGGAGGAACACCGGUGGCGAAGGCGGGUCUCUGGGCCGUAACUGACGCUGAGGAGCGAAAGCAUGGGGAGCGAACAGG
rnacentral:rRNA from 1 species